rnacentral:rRNA from 1 species
UUAUGGCUCAGGACGAACGCUGGCGGCGUGCUUAAUACAUGCAAGUUGAGCGGAGCUAAUAGUGAGUUACUUAUUAUUAGUCGAGCAGCGGACGGGUGAGUAACGCGUGGGCAAUCUGCCCUCUAGUUUGGGAUAACAGUUCGAAAGGACUGCUAACACCGAAUAAUCUUAAAUUUGGGCAUCUAAGUUUAAGGAAAGUUAACGCUAGAGGAUGAGCCCGCGUCCCAUUAGCUAGUUGGUGAGGUAACGGCCCACCAAGGCAACGAUGGGUAGCCGACCUGAGAGGGUGACCGGCCACACUGGGACUGAGACACGGCCCAGACUCCUACGGGAGGCAGCAGUAGGGAAUUUUCCGCAAUGGACGAAAAAGUCUGACGGAGCAACGCCGCGUGAGGGAUGAAGGUUUUCGGAUCGUAAACCUCUGUCCUUGGGGAAGAUAAUGACGGUACCCAAGGAGGAAGCCACGGCUAACUACGUGCCAGCAGCUGC